rnacentral:rRNA from 1 species
AGUGAAGAAGGCCUUUGGGUUGUAAAGCUCUUUCGUCGGGGAAGAAAAUGACUGUACCCGAAUAAGAAGGUCCGGCUAACUUCGUGCCAGCAGCCGCGGUAAUACGAAGGGACCUAGCGUAGUUCGGAAUUACUGGGCUUAAAGAGUUCGUAGGUGGUUGAAAAAGUUGGUGGUGAAAUCCCAGAGCUUAACUCUGGAACUGCCAUCAAAACUUUUCAGCUAGAGUAUGAUAGAGGAAAGCAGAAUUUCUAGUGUAGAGGUGAAAUUCGUAGAUAUUAGAAAGAAUACCAAUUGCGAAGGCAGCUUUCUGGAUCAUUACUGACACUGAGGAACGAAAGCAUGGGUAGCGAAGAGGAUUAGAUACCCUCGUAGUCCAUGCCGUAAACGAUGUGUGUUAGACGUUGGAAAUUUAUUUUCAGUGUCGCAGGGAAACCGAUAAACACACCGCCUGGGGAGUACGACCGCAAGGUUAAAACUCAAAUGAAUUGACGGGGACCCGCACAAGUAGUGGAGCAUGUGGUUUAAUUCGAAGAUACGCGCAGAACCUUACCAACACUUGACAUGUUCGUCGCGACUCUAAGAGAUUAGAGUUUUCGGUUCGGCCGGACGAAACACAGGUGCUGCAUGGCUGUCGUCAGCUCGUGUCGUGAGAUGUUGGGUUAAGUCCCGCAACGAGCGCAACCCUCACUUUUAGUUGCCAUCAUUAAGUUGGGCACUCUGAAAGAACUGCCAG